GUGCUUGUGUUGGCAGUACAUAUAUUAAAAUUGGAACAAGGCAGAGAAAAUAGCAUGGCCUCUGCUCAGGGGUGAUGCUCAAAUUCCUGAAUCAUUCCUUGUUUUC